GUCUCCGAGGCGUACCUGGUGACGCACCCGUUUCGUAAUCGGGGGAAGUCGGUUCGAUUCCGACCGGAGGCU
rnacentral:tRNA from 1 species